UACGGAAGGUCCAGGCGUUAUCCGGAUUUAUUGGGUUUAAAGGGAGCGUGGGCUGGAGAUUAAGUGUGUUGUGAAAUGUAGACGCUCAACGUCUGAAUUGCAGCGCAUACUGGUUUCCUUGAGUACGCACAACGUUGGCGGAAUUCGUCGUGUAGCGGUGAAAUGCUUAGAUAUGACGAAGAACUCCGAUUGCGAAGGCAGCUGACGGGAGCGCAACUGACGCUUAAGCUCGAAGGUGCGGGUAUCAAACAGGAUUAGAUACCCUGGUAGUCAAGGGCG
rnacentral:rRNA from 1 species